AGAUUGAACGCUGGCGGCAUGCCUUACACACGCAAGUCGAACGGCAGCACGGGGGCAACCCUGGUGGCGAGUGGCGAACGGGUGAGUAAUGCAUCGGAACGUGCCCAGUAGUGGGGGAUAACUAGUCGAAAGAUUAGCUAAUACCGCAUACGACCUAAGGGUGAAAGCGGGGGAUUCGCAAGAACCUCGCGCUAUCGGAGCGGCCGAUGUCUGAUUAGCUAGUUGGCGGGGUAAAAGCCACCAAGGCUUCGAUCAGUAGCUGGUCUGAGAGGACGACCAGCCACACUGGGACUGAGACACGGCCAGACUCCUACGGGAGCAGCAGUGGGGAAUUUGGACAAGUGGGCGCAAGCCUGAUCCAGCCAUGCCGCGUGACGGGGAAG
rnacentral:rRNA from 1 species